GAUGAUUUGUUUGCAUCUUCUCUGGACUUGGACGAUUUCUUAAUUAAAAAAAUGCAGGAACAGAAUUCACUUGAAACUGAAACUGGUUUUUGUGAACUUGAUUUUUGUGAUUCUGUUUUGCAGCCUGAUCUCUUGAGUUUUGAAACUGAUAAGACUUGGCAUUUUCUGAGAUCAUUUCGUGAUAAUGGUGUUGUCUUGAGUUCUGAUGAAAUUUUGGUUUACAACACAUUCUUUGAGAAAUGCCUUGAACUUUUGAUAAAUGAUUCUCAAACUGAACUUAAGCUUGUGUGUUCAGAUGUUGGGAAGGAUAUGCCCAUCUUGAAAAUGAAUAUUGUUGUUGCAUAUCUUGAUAAAAUUCUUGUCUGUAAUAUAUAAUUUGAUGAGCACCUUGAAAGGCUGAAAAAUGUGCAAUUUGUUCUUGGAAAAGAUAUCUUGAUUUGUGAUUUGAACAAAUAUUUAUCUUGCACAUUUGAUCCUGGUCUUUUAGUGUUUAUUUUGAGUAUACAGGAAAGACAGGUUCAGCCUCUAAGAAUUGAAAGCAUUGACCGUGCCCAACAGCCUGAGUUUUGGAGAAGCUUUGUUGAAACCGGCUACCUUGAUGCCAGCGACAGAGGUUCAGUCCAAGAAGGAUAUCGCAACAGUACGAAGGUCUUUUGUCUUGAAUCCAAUUUUAAAAGAAAGCCAACUCAUCAAGGAUUCACUGAGGCUUGGAAUCGCAUGAAAAUCUUCACGGAUGAAGAAGUUAUGAAUUUUCCAAACCGGAGGUUCUUCAGUCCAUCUAUCCGCGAGUACCAGAUUUCUAAAGGAGAUUCAUGCCCCAUAAAGAAUCGGCCUGAGCCAAAACCGAUCCUCCAUGAACCAAAGGUGUUUCCUCAGUCAUUCUCCUGUCUAAACCAAAAGCACUUUAAGGAUCAUGAGUUGAUUGCCUCUACUCUUCAUGAAAAUGUUUUGAAACCGAGAAUUUCAAAAAGAAAACAUAUUCUUACUUGGUUGAAAAACGUUUUGCUCAAACCUUUUCAUGAAUUGAUUUCAUUGAGCUGUGCUUUGAAAGAGAUUUGGUGUAGGAAAAAGCAUGAACUAAAAUUUCUUAGGCCAAAGAAUUCUUUUGAUUUCGUUCAUGAUGAUAAUUUUUCAAAUUUGGCAUUGUCUCUUUCUUUUCCUGACCGUUUAUCAGCUUGGCCUAAUUUUAAAAUUGAUAAACCAAUUUUUGGUGAUCAGCUUACUUGUUUGAUGCUUGCCCACGUGCUUGAUGAUUAUCCUAAGGGCUUGGAUCCUGAUCUUGAUGUCCUAAAGAUAGAGAAACCCUUUGAUUAUUUCUUUGGCAGAUUUGAUGUGGUUUCUCUAGUUGCUUUGAAUAAACAUGAUAAGCAUGAUCAGUUUCUAAGGAGAGCAAGC
rnacentral:lncRNA from 1 species